GCGUGCGCCAGAUGCGCUUCGCCGUGCCGGUGAUGGUGGCCGCCGCGAUGCUGACGAUCAUCGGCAUUUCGCUUUUCAACCCGUUCAGGAUUCUUUCAAAGCUGCCGAUCGAUAUUGGCAAGCUUGGAGUUUCAGGCACCAAGAUCACGAUGGACUCGCCGCACCUUGCAGGCUUCACGCCGGACAACCGUCCCUAUGAGCUGUGGGCCAAGUCGGCGAUCCAGGACGUGACCAAACCGAACAAUGUCGACGAAUUGCGCGCGAAAGUUCAGAUGGAGGACAAGACAGGCAUCACCAUGGAUGCGCGCACCGGCCUGUUCGACACGAAAACCCAGUUGCUGGAUCUGAAG
rnacentral:misc_RNA from 1 species